CUACGGGUCGCACCAGUGAGGAAUAUUGCACAAUGGGGGAAACCCUGAUGCAGCAACGCCGCGUGGAGGAUGACGCAUUUCGGUGUGUAAACUCCUUUUAUGAGUCAAGAAAAUGACGGUAGCUCAUGAAUAAGCACCGGCUAACUCCGUGCCAGCAGCCGCGGUAAUACGGAGGGUGCAAGCGUUACUCGGAAUCACUGGGCGUAAAGGACGCGUAGGCGGGAUGUCAAGUCAGGUGUGAAAUCCUAUGGCUCAACUAUAGAACUGCACUUGAAACUGGCAACCUAGAGUAUGGGAGGGGGAGAUGGAAUUAGUGGUGUAGGGGUAAAAUCCGUAGAUAUCACUAGGAAUACCGAAAGCGAAGGCGAUCUCCUGGAACAUUACUGACGCUAAGGCGUGAAAGCGUGGGGAGCAAACAGGAUUAGAUACCCGCGUAGUC
rnacentral:rRNA from 1 species